CCUCGCUCAUUUUGUUUUGGAUUUCUACCCUGUGUUUUGUUACGUGUUUGUUUGGUCUUCGUCCCCGUGCCGUAAUUUGGACGUAAUAAAAAAAACUAUUACGCAUUCCUGCGUCUGUCUCCCGAAUCUCUUCAUACCAGCGUGACACUCUCCCUCGUCUACUCUGUUGCUGUCUCUGUGUCUUCUCUGGUGUGUCUCUCCAACAUGAAUCCUAAAUACAGGUGCUACAAAGACUGAAUAUUCUAUGGACCUCCAGAGCCUUUUGACCAAACUACCUGCGAUCAAUCCAGAGCACAGAGCAACCUGCUGUGGUGCUGAUGAGGAGUGUACAGGGAGGAAGUGACACUGCAUAAUGAACAGAGGCGAUCCGUCAUUCAGGGCAGGUGGAGCAGAGCCUCAC